rnacentral:misc_RNA from 1 species
AACGCACGAGACCUGCGGACCUGCGGAGGGAUCAUUAAUGAGAAACUGCCCCUCGCGGGUAGAUCUCCCACCCUUUGUAAACUUACCUUUGUUGCUUUGGCAGGCCCGUCUCCGGACCGCCGGCUUCGGCUGGCCAGUGCCUGCCAGAGGAUUCUAAAACUCUGUCUGUCAGUGUUGUCUGAGUCUAUUUACAAUCGUUAAAACUUUCAACAACGGAUCUCUAGAUCGGAAGAGCACACG